rnacentral:rRNA from 1 species
CUACGGGGGGCACCAGUGGGGAAUAUUGCACAAUGGGGGAAACCCUGAUGCAGCAACGCCGCGUGAGUGAUGAUGGUCUUCGGAUUGUAAAGCUCUGUCUUUAGGGACGAUAAUGACGGUACCUAAGGAGGAAGCCACGGCUAACUACGUGCCAGCAGCCGCGGUAAUACGUAGGUGGCAAGCGUUGUCCGGAUUUACUGGGCGUAAAGGGAGCGUAGGUGGAUAUUUAAGUGGGAUGUGAAAUACUCGGGCUUAACUUGAGUGCUGCAUUCCAAACUGGAUAUCUAGAGUGCAGGAGAGGAAAGUAGAAUUCCUAGUGUAGCGGUGAAAUGCGUAGAGAUUAGGAAGAAUACCAGUGGCGAAGGCGACUUUCUGGACUGUAACUGACACUGAGGCUCGAAAGCGUGGGGAGCAAACAGGAUUAGAUACCCGAGUAGUC